rnacentral:piRNA from 1 species
UGGACUUCUGAGUGGGGUUUCCUAA